GACAUCAGGAAAAAUGCUCAGCUCUUUCAGAGCUGGUGUGAAAUAUUCCCUUGUCCCCGUCUCCCACUCCCAGCCUUCCUCCUGCCCUUCUCAGUUUGACCUCCCAGUGUGUGUAUUGUUUAUACUCUGCUUUUUUUUUUUUUAAUAAAUGCACAUUUCCUUCUACAGGGUCACAUAACAGCUGUUCAUGUAAGACUCUCCCAGUAGUUUUGUGAACUUCAUUCAGCUCAAAAACAACUCAAAAGCCAAAAACAGUCCUACCAAAUCCUCAACCCUUGCACUGGAGAAGAAUUCAAGCUAACAAUCACAGAUUACUAAAGCUGAGGAAGAAUCACUUCUAGAGGUUGGAGACAUUCCUGUAACAGAGAAAAGGAGGGAGGAAAAUACGAAGGACUCAAAAGGUGUUUAUGUUGGACAAGUAAUAUCCGUAAGAUCUUCUGUAUCAGAUUUCAAAAGGAAAAAAAAAUCACUUAAAUUAGUAUAUUGCAAUUUGACAAUGCAAAAUUUAAAAAUAACAGAAAUGAGAGUUAAACAGGUUUCCUUAAGUUUUAUCAUCCAGGAUGAUCGUAUUUCAAUAUUAGGAAUUCUGGCAUUCUUCCUGUCCUUUACAAAUUGCAUACUACCUCUUGGUUGCUGUAAAUUAUUCCUAGGUUAAAAGUAAGUUUGAGGGAAGGGGGACACUGCCCUCACUGUGACAUGCAUGUACGUAGCCCUGAUACUAAAUGCAAGUCUGGUUCUAAGACAGGCUUUGUGGGACAACUGACAUACAAAUGGCUAUUUGAAAAAAGUACAGAAUCCAGAAAACUCAUUUGAGAGCACUGUUUUCUAUUGCCUCAACAGGAAGUACCACUGCUUUGGUGAAAAAGAAUCCCUCAGACUCAAAACCUUUAGGGAAAUGCCAUCAACUGAGCAAGAUGAACAAUACCACACACUGGACAGCAUGUAGGUCUUCAGUGCUUUCUAUUGGAUCAGCACAAACUGAUAUAUCUUGAUGAUUUGUUGAAGCAUUAUUACAAUCUUAUUCUCCCCAUUUUAAAGAUCCCCACAUGCCAUACUGUGGAUAGUGCACCACAAUCUAGUGAGAGAGAUGAAUAGGGGACCUAGAAUUGAAACAAAAGGGAGUGGGAAUUAAGAAGUUACCUGUAGGGUGCCUGACUGGCUCAGUCAAUAGAACACGCAGCUCUCAAUUUCGGGGUUGUGAGUACAAGACCCAUGUUGGGCAUGGAGCCUACUUAAAAAAAAAAGUUAUUCCCUUAUAAAAUCACUCCAGCUUAAAUAAAAUUUCAUUUUAACAGAAUAAUACA
rnacentral:lncRNA from 1 species